GCCAGUGUGGUGCAGCGGUUUGAAUGUUGGACUGGGACUCCGGAGACUAGUGUUUGAAUCCCAGAUCAGCCA